rnacentral:lncRNA from 1 species
UAUCAGUCGUUAAUUGUCUAAAAGUCUUGUGUAGCAUUUAUGUGUGUUUUUGGGUUUAUGUGGACGUGAAAAACACCUUAACACGGUAAAACAAUUCCCACGUGACACUUGGUAUCUUUACUCUUACAAAAGAGUAAAUUGGUGGCGGCGGUCCGUCACCUCUUUUUAUUGUGAAGAAAUAAUCUCAUCAUCAUUUUCUAUUAUAAAAAAACAAUUGCCCCUCUCUUUCUAAUGCAAACAAUUAAACCUAUUUAUUCCGUUAUUAGUGAUUGCGGAACCGAUCAUAUUUUGGUCGAAUGGAAAAGAAAAAGAAAAAACUAAACCCCUUGCAAAAUAUUGACACGUGGAUAAUGUUUGUUACCAAAAUAUUGACACGUGGAUGGGCACUGCCGC